UUGACCUCGGAUCAGGUAAGGAUACCCGCUGAACUUAAGCAUAU
rnacentral:rRNA from 1 species